GCUGGCGGCACGCCUAACACAUGCAAGUCGAACGAAGUAGCAAUACUUAGUGGCAGACGGGUGAGUAACAUGUAGGUAUCUACCCUAUGGUUUGGAAUAACACGAGGAAACUUGUGCUAAUACCAAAUAAGUCUUUACGGAGAAAGCUUUAUGCGCCAUUGGAUGAGCCUGCACUUGAUUAGUUUGUUGGUGGGGUAAUGGCCUACCAAGACAAUGAUCAAUAGCUGAUUUGAGAGGAUGAUCAGCCACAUUGGGACUGAGACACGGCCCAAACUCCUACGGGAGGCAGCAGUGGGGAAUCUUGCACAAUGGGGGAAACCCUGAUGCAGCGAUGCCGCGUGAGUGAAGAAGGCCUUUGGGUUGUAAAGCUCUUUCGUCGGGGAAGAAAAUGACUGUACCCGAAUAAGAAGGUCCGGCUAACUUCGUGCCAGCAGCCGCGGUAAUACGAAGGGACCUAGCGUAGUUCGGAAUUACUGGGCUUAAAGAGUUCGUAGGUGGUUAAAAAAGUUGGUGGUGAAAUCCCAGAGCUUAACUCUGGAACUGCCAUCAAAACUUUUUAGCUAGAGUAUGAUAGAGGAAAGUAGAAUUUCUAGUGUAGAGGUGAAAUUCGUAGAUAUUAGAAAGAAUACCAAUUGCGAAGGCAGCUUUCUGGAUCAUUACUGACACUGAGGAACGAAAGCAUGGGUAGCGAAGAGGAUUAGAUACCCUCGUAGUCCAUGCCGUAAACGAUGUGUGUUAGACGUUGGAAAUUUAUUUUCAGUGUCGCAGCGAAAGCAGUAAACACACCGCCUGGGGAGUACGACCG
rnacentral:rRNA from 1 species